rnacentral:rRNA from 1 species
UACAGAGGUCUCGAGCGUUGUUCGGAAUCAUUGGGCGUAAAGCGCGCGCAGGCGGAUCAGCAAGUCAGGUGUGAAAUCUCGGGGCUCAACCUCGAAACUGCGCCUGAAACUGCUAGUCUAGAAUGUCGGAGGGGGCAGGGGAAUUUCACGUGUAGGGGUAAAAUCCGUAGAGAUGUGAAGGAACACCGGGGGCGAAGGCGCCUGCCUGGACGACUAUUGACGCUGAGGCGCGAAAGCGUGGGGAGCAAACAGG